rnacentral:rRNA from 1 species
CCUACGGGAGGCAGCAGUGAGGAAUAUUGGUCAAUGGGCGGGAGCCUGAACCAGCCAAGCCGCGUGAGGGAAGAAGGUACAGCGUAUCGUAAACCUCUUUUGUCAGGGAAUAAAGGCGGGGACUAGUCCCCGGAUGAGGGUACCUGAAGAAAAAGCAUCGGCUAACUCCGUGCCAGCAGCCGCGGUAAUACGGAGGAUGCGAGCGUUAUCCGGAUUUAUUGGGUUUAAAGGGUGCGCAGGCGGCGUGUUAAGUCAGCGGUGAAAGCCCCGGGCUCAACCCCGGGGAGCCCCGUUGAUACGGCCGGGCUGGAAUGCGGAGGAAGUGGGAGGAAUGCGUGGUGUAGCGGUGAAAUGCUUAGAUA